rnacentral:tRNA from 1 species
AGGGCUAUAGCUCAGUUGGUAGAGCAACUCGUUUACACGAGAAGGUCUACGGUUCGAGCCCGUAUAGCCCUA